rnacentral:rRNA from 1 species
UACAGAGGAUGCAAGCGUUAUCCGGAAUGAUUGGGCGUAAAGCGUCUGUAGGUGGCUUUUUAAGUCCGCCGUCAAAUCCCAGGGCUCAACUCUGGACAGGCGGUGGAAACUACCAAGCUGGAGUACGGUAGGGGCAGAGGGAAUUUCCGGUGGAGCGGUGAAAUGCGUAGAGAUCGGGAGGAACACCAGUGGCGAAGGCGGCCUUCUGGACCAGCACUGACACUCAAGCACGAAAGCGUGGGGAGCAAACAGG